rnacentral:rRNA from 1 species
GACGAACGCUGGCGGCGUGCUUAACACAUGCAAGUCGAACGGUAAGGCCCUUCGGGGUACACGAGUGGCGAACGGGUGAGUAACACGUGGGUAAUCUGCCCUGCACCUCGGGAUAAGCCUGGGAAACUGGGUCUAAUACCGAAUAGGACCACAGGACACAUGUCCUGUGGUGGAAAGCUUUUGCGGUGUGGGAUGGGCCCGCGGCCUAUCAGCUUGGUGGUGGGGUGAUGGCCUACCAAGGCGACGACGGGUAGCCGGCCUGAGAGGGUGUCCGGGCACACUGGGACGGAGAUACGGCCCAGACGAGUACGGGAGGCAGCAGUGGGGAAUAUUGCACAAUGGGCGAAAGAGUGAUGCAGCGACGCCGCGUGGGGGAUGACGGCCGUCGGGUUGUAAACCUAUUUCACCAUAGACGAAGGUCCGGGUGUUCUCGGGCUGACGGUAGGUGGAGAAGAAGCACCGGCCAACUACGUG